rnacentral:rRNA from 1 species
CCGACGGUGAGAGGUGAAGCCCUGGGGCGCAAACGGGAUUAGAUACCCCGGUAGUCCAGGGUGUAAACGCUGCGGGCUUGGUGUUGGGGGUCCUUUGAGGGCGCCCAGUGCCGGAGAGAAGUUGUUAAGCCUGCUGCUUGGGGGAGUACGUCCGCAAGGAUGAAACUUAAAGGAAUUGGCGGGGGAGCACCGCAACGGGAGGAGCGUGCGGUUCAAUUGGAUUCAACGCCGGACAACUCACCAGGAGCGACGGUUACAUGAAGGCCAGGCUGAUGACCUUGCCUGAUUUUCCGAGAGGUGGUGCAUGGCCGUCGUCAGUUCGUACC